GUUGCUAACGCGUGAAGGCGAGCACUCUAGACGAACUGCCGUUGACAAAACGGAGGAAGGUGGGAUGACGUCAAAUCAUCAUGCCCCUUAUGUUCUGGGCUACACACGUGCUACAAUGGCCGGUACAGGCGGACGCAAAGCCGCGAGGUGGAGCAAAUACCUAAAAAGCCGGUCUCAGUUCGGAUUGCAGGCUGCAAUUCGCCUGCAUGAAGUCGGAAUCGCUAGUAAUCGCAGGUCAGCAUACUCGCGGUCGAAUACGUUCCGGCCUU
rnacentral:rRNA from 1 species